rfam:Nicotiana sylvestris Nsyl_contig111699, whole genome shotgun sequence.
GGGGCAGAUUAUUGUAUUCGACUAUAUUCGACUGCAUUCACGGCGUGAAACAGGGGAUUACACUGUUUUUAAACAGAAAGUGUAUCAAUUAAUAUAAUAGACUCCU